rnacentral:rRNA from 1 species
GGUUAAGCGACUAAGCGUACACGGUGGAUGCCCUGGCAGUCAGAGGCGAUGAAGGACGUGCUAAUCUGCGAAAAGCGCCGGCGAGGUGAUAUGAACCUUUGACCCGGCGAUGUCCGAAUGGGGAAACCCAGUGCAAUCCGUUGCACUAUCGUUAACUGAAUACAUAGGUUAACGAGGCGAACCGGGGGAACUGAAACAUCUAAGUACCCCGAGGAAAA